GACGAACGCUGGCGGCGUGCCUAAUACAUGCGAGUCGAACGCUUCUUUCCUCCCGAGUGCUUGCACUCAAUUGGAAAGAGGAGUGGCGGACGGGUGAGUAACACGUGGGUAACCUACCCAUCAGAGGGGGAUAACACUUGGAAACAGGUGCUAAUACCGCAUAACAGUUUAUGCCGCAUGGCAUAAGAGUGAAAGGCGCUUUCGGGUGUCGCUGAUGGAUGGACCCGCGGUGCAUUAGCUAGUUGGUGAGGUAACGGCUCACCAAGGCCACGAUGCAUAGCCGACCUGAGAGGGUGAUCGGCCACACUGGGACUGAGACACGGCCCAGACUCCUACGGGAGGCAGCAGUAGGGAAUCUUCGGCAAUGGACGAAAGUCUGACCGAGCAACGCCGCGUGAGUGAAGAAGGUUUUCGGAUCGUAAAACUCUGUUGUUGGAGAAGAACAAGGACGUUAGUAACUGAACGUCCCCUGACGGUAUCUAACCAGAAAGCCACGGCUAACUACGUG
rnacentral:rRNA from 1 species